GACGUAGGGCGCAAGCGUUGUCCGGAUUUAUUGGGCGUAAAGAGCUCGUAGGCGGCUUGUCGCGUCGACUGUGAAAACCCGUGGCUCAACCAUGUGGUCUGCACUCGAUACUGCGGGUCUCGAGUCCGGGAGAGGUGAGUGGAAUUCCUAGUGUAGAGGUGAAAUUCGUAGAUAUUAGGAAGAACACCAGUGGCGAAGGCGGCUCACUGGCCCGGUACUGACGCUGAGGCGCGAAAGCGUGGGGAGCAAACAGG
rnacentral:rRNA from 1 species